rnacentral:rRNA from 1 species
UACGGAGGAUGCGAGCGUUAUCCGGAUUUAUUGGGUUUAAAGGGUGCGCAGGCGGCGUGUCAAGCAAGCGGUAAAAUAGCGGGGCUCAACCCCGUCGAGCCGUUUGAACUGGCGCGCUUGAGUUCAGGCGAGGUAGGCGGAAUUCGUGGUGUAGCGGUGAAAUGCAUAGAUAUCACGAAGAACUCCGAUUGCGAAGGCAGCUUACCAGUCUGCGACUGACGCUCAGGCACGAA